rnacentral:rRNA from 1 species
GACGAACGCUGGCGGCGUGCUUAACACAUGCAAGUCGAACGGAAAGGCCCUGCUUUUGUGGGGUGCUCGAGUGGCGAACGUGUGAGUAACACGUGAGUAACCUGCCCUUGACUUUGGGAUAACUUCAGGAAACUGGGGCUAAUACCGGAUAGGAGCUCCUGCUGCAUGGUGGGGGUUGGAAAGUUUCGGCGGUUGGGGAUGGACUCGCGGCUUAUCAGCUUGUUGGUGGGGUAGUGGCUUACCAAGGCUUUGACGGGUAGCCGGCCUGAGAGGGUGAACAGCCACAUUGGGACUGAGAGACGGAGCAGACUCCUACGGGAGGCAGCAGUGGGGAAUAUUGCACAAUGGGCGGAAGCCUGAGGCAGAAACGCCGCGUGCGGGAUGAAGGCCUUCGGGUUGUAAACCGCUUUAGCCUGUGACGAAGCGUGAGUGACGGUAAUGGGUAAAGAAGCACCGGCUAACUACGUG